ACCACCUCUGCGUGGUCAGCAUGUACAUGUCACUAUCCUGAGCCAGCUGGCAGGGCCAUUUUUGUUUUUUUUUUUUGGUUGUUUUUUGUUUUUGGGGUGUUUUUUUUUUGUUUUUUUUUUUUGUUUUGUUUUGUUUUUUUCUUUUGUUUUUUGCCUCUGCUGAUACCAACUCUCCAGGUGAACCUUCUCUUACUUGGCUCCUCUGGAGGCAGGCAUGCAGGACUCUGGACUUCUACCCUCUGAUUUUACCUGCUGUCGAAAUUAUGUCUAAAAAGAAGGCAAAGAAGUCACUCACUCUCUUACCAAGGCAAACCUUCCAGCAAGUUCCAGACAAGGGAGUCUACUGUAGAAUGAUCAGAAGUUUCCAGCUAGUCUGGGCUCCACAGUAAGUUUCAGGUCUGCUGGGAGAAUAAAAUAAGACAAAUAAGAUGGGAGAGGGGGGCUUUAAAAUA
rnacentral:lncRNA from 1 species